rnacentral:sRNA from 1 species
UGAAACUAACUCUGUGGAGCUCAAGGUCAGACAUUGGCCUUCUUCGGUAUCCCGACUGCUGGGAAGAAGAGGAUGAAGAACAGAAGUUUUGGAGUCUGGAGAGAUAGAUAACAUAGCUUUUAAGAGCAGAAACAGUGCACCAAGAGAAGAUUCACCUAGAAUUCACCACUUCACCACCAACCCAGAAACACACCAAGCUGCCCUGAGAAGCCCAUUAUUUCAGGAGGAUCUUCAGUUUUCUGUCACCUCUGUGCCCAGCAUCAUUCCACCUGCAACUCUUGAACCAUACAGCCCAAGGUUACCCAUUAGAGGGCUACCACACCAGAAUUUGAAGGUUCACCUUCCCUUUAAUACUAACUACAACAACAUCGAGGGACCAAAACCAUCCGGAUGGCCAAAGGUCCUUAGAAGAACACAAUCAACAAAAGCCAGGACAAUAUGACACCUCCAGAGGAUAGCUACCCCACUAUAGCUAGCCCUGGAUAUCCUAACGUACGUAAC